rnacentral:rRNA from 1 species
UACGAGGGGGGCAAAUGUUGUUCGGAUUCACUGGGGUUAAAGGGUGCGUAGGUGGGCAAGUAAGUCAGUGGUGAAAUCUCCGGGCUUAACCCGGAAACUGCCAUUGAUACUAUUUGUCUUGAAUACUGUGGAGGUCAGCGGAAUAUGUCAUGUAGCGGUGAAAUGCUUGGAUAUGACAUAGAACACCAAUUGCGAAGGCAGCUGGCUACACAAAUAUUGACACUGAGGCACGAAAGCGUGGGGAUCAAACAGG